rnacentral:tRNA from 1 species
CAGGAAAUAGUUUAUUUAAAAUAAUAAUUUUGGAGAUUAUGGAUGAGAAUUUCUCUUUUCUGA